UCACACUUCUAACGAAAUGACCAUGGAACAAAACAACUUGAAUACAUGCGCUUCAGACGACUGCAGUUACUAACCUUUAUGUACACCAGUCAUUGUUCAUUUUCGCUCUUUGCUGCAAUUUAUAGCGCAACUGGAACGCAGAAAGGUAUAUCAGGAAAAUCGGCGUCGAUUUUAAAAUAAGAACCAUAGAGUUGAAUGGCAAAACAAUAAAGCUGCAGAUUUGGUACACGGCAGGCGAAGAGCGAUUCAAAUUCCUCAACCCCGAUUUUUACAGGGGUGCUCAUGGGAUUAUUGUUGCUUAUUAUGUCACAAACCAGGUAUAA